UUGGCAGUCUUCCCAAUUGCAAGUGGAAGUUUAUUGUAGUACACACUGAAGCUGCCAAUUUAAAGACUCUUAAACCAAAGUCUGAAGUGUAUCUUUGCUCAAAUAACUGGGGACAUCUGGACACCCAGUCUUGAUAUCUUGAUGAUGAAUUAUACUAGCAUAUCUUAGAAGUGUUAAGAAUAACAUUUUAACUAACAAAUGAAAAAUCUAGUGGAUUUGUGUUCAAAACAGCGGAUUUUCGCAAUUUGAUUGGCGAAUUUCGGUGUUUUACAUUUGGCAACACUUGCUCAACCAAGGCAAGGCCAAGGCCAACUCCAAGGAGGACAAAUGUCUGGCUCUUCCUGUAACAGAAGCCGGCUUCCGUAUCUGUAAGUUGAUAUAUCUGGCUUUAUUAUCUUCGUUUUCAGAUCGUCAUGGGGGAGUGACUACAAACUGAAGAAAAUAGAGAUCAACAUAGGAGAAUGGGAGAGUACACCAGAAGGGAGACUAGAGUGUCAAAAAUACAGGAAGCUACUGGUAAUCCAGGGUCUGAUGAUGGCAAUCCAGGACUUGCAGUAUUACACAAUUGUGGACUAGACAAAAUCUAGAGUUGGAACGACUGUAUUUUAUUGAAUUUACAACAUUACAAUGCAAAAUAAACAUUGUGAAAUAAAUGAA